UGGCAGGGAAUCUCUACUCUUAGGUAAGGGUAAAUUAUACCUUUCUAGAUGUGUCAUUUCACUCGUAAAAUUUCCUACUUUUCAUGAAUUUGUUAAUAACUCAGUUUUGGAUCAACCUUAUCCGCAAUUCGACUAAUUAUACUGGACUUUGCCAUGACAUAAAAUAGCCCCUGAUGGAAGACUUACCAGUUUUCUAACAAAGGCGACGUGAGGAGCGGGAGGAGGAAAAGAGUCGACUGGAGGAAGAGCAAAAGAAACGCGAGGAGGAACAAAGGAGACACGUGAGGAGGAACAAAGGCUGAUUUCGAGCUGUUCGGGACUGGUUUAUGGGGCUGGUUCAAUGCUGGUUUUUCAGCUGGUUCUGGGCAGCUUUUCCGAGCUGUUUUGGGGCGGGAUUGGGCUCUUUUUAGAGCUCUUUUGCAGCUGGUCCGGUGGUGGUUGGUGGGGGUUUCAUUGGUGGAGUGAUGGAGGUGUAGAAAAUGGAAAGAAGAGGGAAGAAGGAGGUGGUAAUCUAAGAGUAGAAAAGAAUGAAGAAGAAUAUUGCUGAGUGACAUUUCUCUCUCUCCCUCACAAACGUCCCUCUCUCUGCGUUUUACAGAAAAUGGAAAGGAGGAGAAGAGGUGCUUUGGGCUUUCGCCGUAAAGAUAUUGGAGUAUUUGACCUCUCGUUAAAGACUAUAUAUGAAGAAGUUGGAUUUUUGCCGUGGAUUCUACUGUAAUCUAGUUUUCUCGCUGUUGAAUUUUUUUAUUAUUUUGCGCUCUAGGGUUUGGAUAUGAUAUGUUUGAUUCUACGUACACUUUUUAUGGUACGAUUUUUUGUUAUUUUGUAUUCUGCGAAUUCAGAUACCGUUUGUUAAGUAUUUGGAGAACACCUUUUAUUUAUGGAAGUUAUGAAUGAAUUGUUCUCGAAUUUCAA